GUGGUAGAUACGCUGGAGGCAACAGACCUAGGACAGGAGUGACUCCACAAUGAAAAGCACCCAGAGAGGAACAUUCUCCUCCCUUCUCCCAGCAAGAGGCAAAGUGGAGCCCUCCCUCCUCUGUUUCCAGGACCUCGCUCACCAGCUGCACUUUCUAAACCUGGGAGCUAUGAAGCCCUGAUCCAGGGAUCAGUUCCUAUUCUCCCCCUCUCCUCCCUCCCAGCAGGAAGGAAGGCAAGGCCACCUCCCCCUCUGACAGGCUUCAGCACCUCUUCAAGACAUGAGCUAGCCCUUUAUGCUAACCAUAAAUAGCUUAACAGCGACACUUAAAAACUGUAAAUACUUGGGAGGUGCUUAUGUUCUAUGGUGAUGGAGAUGACAUCUGUGUUGCCAACUCUCAGGAUUUGAUUGCAAGUCUUGCGAUAUCUGGUGUUUUUCUUCAAGCCUCAGCACAGAGUCAGGUAUGCAGAUCCUUACCUCGAAAUUCUAGCCCUCUGAGCUGGAAAGUGACGAGGCCAUUUCCAAUUUCGAUCAAGUGAACAAAGGCAUUUAAAUAAUCCGAAGCCAGAAUAAAACAGUCUCCUGAACUGUAGUUUCC